rnacentral:rRNA from 1 species
UACGUAGGCAGCAAGCGUUGUUCGGAAUUACUGGGCGUAAAGAGUGUGUAGGCGGUGCUCUAAGUCUGUUGUGAAAUCUCCCGGCUUAACCGGGAGGGUGCGGCGGAAACUGGAGUGCUUGAGGGUGGGAGAGGUAAGCGGAAUUCCUGGUGUAGCGGUGAAAUGCGCAGAUAUCAGGAGGAACACCGAUGGCGAAGGCAGGUCUCUGGGCCACUACUGACGCUGAGAAGCGAAAGCAUGGGGAGCGAACAGG